GUAAAGGAAGGAGACACUGUUCUUUUGCCUGAAUAUGGGGGCAUUGAAGUGAACCUUGGUGAUAAAGGGUAUCAUCUAUACCGAGAUGAGGAUAUCCUCGGAACUCUUCAUGAUUAAUGCAUAAUGUUUCCAAGUGUUGGAAAUUAAUUCAGUUAGAUACUCUUGAGAUUACUGUUGGUUUCCCAGCAUGCCAAUUGAAACUUGCAUCAACCUUGUCUUUUGUAUUCCCAAGGGAGUGAGGUUGGAAAUUAAUUUGCUGUGGGUAAUGAAAAAAAAUAUGAAAACUUUCUUAUCUUUUCAUUUGUUUAGCAUCAUCAUGGUCAAUAUCCCAUUAUAUAUUGUUAGUGUUCAGUC
rnacentral:misc_RNA from 1 species